AUUGUUGAUGUUAUUUGAACAGACCUGUCGCUGUGUCAGUCUGAAUGGGAGAUUAGAGACCGACACAUGUUUGUUGCUGCUCCAUGUUCUCUGCAACAUUGUGUGUAGUUACUGCAGCUGUGUGUGCAUUCUGCUGGCAGGAACAGGAAACAAGUGAAAGAAAACUGGCGAGCACCCUGGAAGGAAAACUUAAUCGGACAUAACAAGUUAAAACAGUUUGCAAGUUUCAAGCCAAACUGCUGAAUCUACCGUCCAGAGCUGGGAUGCUCGUCUUCUGAUGGAGCGCUCUCGAGCUGUGAUGGGUCCAGAUAUCAGCGCUCACCUGGCUGGUACCAAGAAGGUUCAGCAAGUGCUCGCCAGACCUGGAGUCCUGGAGAGGUUCUUCCCGGACCAGCCUCAAGCUGUGCAGCAGAUCUGAGCGACAUUGGCUGACCUCUACACUCCAGACAUGGGUGCAGAGAGGGACAAAACAGUAUCAAUGGCCUUGGCAGCAGCAGAACGGUUGGUCUUGAAGCCUCAGCGAGAAGGAGGAGGAGCAGGAACAUUAGAAGCUGCUGUAGUAACUGCUGCUGUUCUCCUGCCUGUCAUAUUCUUCUCUGUCUUCCUGUGGAUUCAGUGAGCAGAUUUGUUACAUUAUUGUUUGGGAGAUAAACUUUGAUUUUAACAGUUUAUGAAUGUCAUUAUUUUGUUCAACAUUAAUUGUCCCAACCAGAAAAAAGAGGAUGUCCAAGGAACCUGUUAAAUCUGAAGACAGAGCCAACAACUGUCAGGGUCCUGGGUCCCCUGACCCAGCAUGUUUAAUUCUUUAUGAUUUUUGUAGUAUUGUUCUUGUGAGUUGUAUCGUUUCUAGUUUCGAUCCCUUGCCCUUCGUGUUUCUCUGUGUCCCCUCUGUUCUGUGUGGUCUGUCUGCAUGUUGAGUUUCCCUCUGUGUCUUUCGGUUCUUAGAGUCCUCUGUCUUAUGGUUUAUGUCUCUGUGUUUCUUAGUUGCUGUCUCCACUGUGCCAAGUUCGUGUCUCUGUGUCAUACUUCCUGUUUUACUUUGAAGGUCCGUGUCUUAUGUGAAUGUGUCCUGCUUUGCUUCCUUGUCUCGUCAGUCCUGAUUUCUCCCAGCUGUGCUCUCCUUCUGUGUCUCAUUCCCCUCGUUACUUCCCAGUGUAUUUAAACCCUGUGUUUCUCUGAGUCAGUGUCGCGUCGUCCCUCAUGCUGUGUGUGAUUCUCCCCGUGUCUCCUGGUAUGCGUUAUGAUUAGUUUUUCCCAGUUUAGUUUUGCAUUGCUUGUGUUCUGUUCUCCAGCAAUAAAGCUGUGCUUUUGAGUUCAAGUUCUGUCCCCUUGAGUUUGCGUUUGGGUCCAAUCCCUGCCUGCCACACAGCGAAACAUGACAACAACAGAGGACAGUGUUUACCUGAUCAGAGACAGCCAGAGGAGCAGGAUGAUCUUCAGUAUACCAGCAUCCACUUCUCCAACAACCAGGCAGAUCCUCUCUACUCCAACAUCAGAGCAGCUCAGCCUCACAGACACAUGCAGGAACAGGAAGUUACUGAGUCACUGCU